AAUAUUGCACAAUGGGCGCAAGCCUGAUGCAGCGACGCCGCGUGGAGGAUGAAGGCCUACGGGUCGUAAACUUCUGUCUGGGGGGAUGAAAACUGACAGUACCCCCGGAGGAAGCCCCGGCUAACUACGUGCCAGCAGCCGCGGUAAUAGGUAGGGGGGGAGCGUUGUCCGGAAUUACUGGGCGUAAAGCGCGCGCAGGCGUAUUGUUAGGUCAGGUGUCAAAAUGCGGGGCUCGACCCCGUAUCGCACUUGAAACUGGCAGGCUUGAGUGCAGGAGAGGGAAGUGGAAUUCCUAGUGUAGCGGUGAAAUGCGUAGAUAUUAGGAGGAACACCAGUGGCGAAGGCGACUUCCUGGACUGUAACUGACGCUGAGGCGCGAAAGCUAGGGGAGCAAAC
rnacentral:rRNA from 1 species